rnacentral:rRNA from 1 species
CCUACGGGAGGCAGCAGUGGGGAAUAUUGGGCAAUGGGCGCAAGCCUGACCAAGCAACGCCGCGUGAAGGAAGAAGGCUUUCGGGUUGUAAACUUCUUUUGUCAGGGAAGAGUAGAAGACGGUACCUGACGAAUAAGCCACGGCUAACUACUUGCCAGCAGCCGCGGUAAUACGUAGGUGGCAAGCGUUGUCCGGAUUUACUGGGUGUAAAGGGCGUGUAGCCGGGUUGACAAGUCAGAUGUGAAAUCCUGCGGCUUAACCGCAGAACUGCAGUUGAAACUGUUGAUCUUGAGUACUGGAGAGGCAGAUGGAAUUACUAGUGUAGCGGUGAAAUGCGUAGAUAUUAGGAGGAACACCAGUGGCGAAGGCGGUCUGCUGGACAGCAACUGACGGUGAGGCGCGAAAGCGUGGGGAGCAAACAGGAUUAGAUACCCCAGUAGUC